GGUAUCUCAUUGUGAUUUUAAUAUGCAUUUCCUAAUUGCUAGUGACACUGAAUGUCUUUAGGUGGAGUUAUUUGACAUUAGACAAGAAUUGUAAUGCAGCUAUUAUGAACAGGAAGGAAUGAAAAUCACCAGAAAUCGUGAAUACACAUGUGGUAGGCAGAAUAAUAGACUAUUAAUGGUGUCCAUGGCCUAAUCUCCAGAAUCUGUGAAUAUAAUAGGUUACAUGGCAAAGGAAAAUUAAAAUAGCUAAUCAGCUGACCUUGAGAUGGAGAGAUUAUCCUGGAUUAUCUGGCCCAAUGUAAUCGCAGGUGUCCUUAUAAGUGGACCAGGAAGGCAACAAAGGCAGUGUCAGAGAGGAGAUGGCCUCCAGAAGCUGGAAAAUGCAAGGAAAUAGACUCUCCCAGAGAGCCUCCAGGAAAGAAUGCAACCUGCUUGCACCUUGAUUUUGGCCUAAUGAGACCCAUUUAAGACCCCUGACCUCCAAAAUUGUUAGGAUCAGGCUAUCGCCACCUGCAAAGGCAGGAGCCUGGCACCUGAAACGCCCAGUGGAAGACAGCUGUCCAGCCAGCACACCUGAGCUCCUGUGUAAGUAAAAAAUAAAUCUUUCUGUGUGCGAAAUCACUGAAAUAUGGGGCAAUUCAUUAUAGAAGUUAGCUUAUUAUAAAAGUAUACCAUUUAUAUAUAUUAGAAAACAUAAGCACAUAAUUAUAUAUAUUUAAAGACACAUACAUUACAUAGACAUAUUGAACACAUUAGAGUGUAUGCCUAGGUCUGGGAGAGGAAUAAGGAUUUGGGAUGAAAA